AGAUAAUUGAACGUUGACAAUCAGACUGAGGAAUUACAUCUAUAAGUCACCUAAAUGUAAAUACCUCACCCUGCAGUCAGUCUUUCAGGGAACCUGCUGGAAAGGAUAUUGGGCUUAUUACCACAGUAAGUUAUCAGUUCCAAGAGCUGGAGCAUAUGAACAGGCAUAACCAGAGAUGUGACAUAAUUCGUUUGAAAGAUAUUUUGAUGACAUGCUCCUCCUUUGAACAACUGACACACAUACAUGGAUAUACUCAGUGACCCUCUAUCUGGAAUUGGAAACUCAGAGAGAUACUCUUGCUUGUG